UCGCUUGUAUGCAUGAUGUAAAAUUUGGGAUCCAAGGUUUUUGAAAUCUACGAGGAUUUUGGGCGUGCAAGAGUUUACAACCAAUCAGGCAACAGCUUGAGAGAUUUCGCGGUUACCUGGUGAUUGGUGGAGGCAAGACGGUGGGAGCCGGGAUAGCUAACGGUGCCAUCACCCUCUUCGAGUUGGGCAGUCGAGAAUGUAUCGAGUGGCCAUGGCGGCAGCUUCAGGACGGAUCACCUGGAAGGUCAAGCGGGGUAGGUCAGCUCCAGUGUGAUGGGCAAGCGCCUAUAUAUGUUGAUACGACGGUAAUUGUGGACGUAAUUUUCGCUCGAAAUAAUGGUGGUUGAUGAUGGCAAUAUGGGUAGGGCUGGCCUGUUAAUUCUAGAACGAGGUAAGUGCUAUUUAGAGCGCUAACUGAUUGAUUGUUGAAACUGAACGAUGUUUGAGGGCGA